CUACCUUUUGCUACGGAAUAACUCAGGGAAACUUGUGCUAAUACCGUAUGUGCCCUUCGGGGGAAAGAUUUAUCGGCAAAGGAUGAGCCCGCGUUGGAUUAGCUAGUUGGUGGGGUAAAGGCCCACCAAGGCGACGAUCCAUAGCUGGUCUGAGAGGAUGAUCAGCCACACUGGGACUGAGACACGGCCCAGACUCCUACGGGAGGCAGCAGUGGGGAAUAUUGGACAAUGGGCGCAAGCCUGAUCCAGCCAUGCCGCGUGAGUGAUGAAGGCCCUAGGGUUGUAAAGCUCUUUCACCGGUGAAGAUAAUGACGGUAACCGGAGAAGAAGCCCCGGCUAACUUCGUGCCAGCAGCCGCGGUAAUACGAAGGGGGCUAGCGUUGUUCGGAUUUACUGGGCGUAAAGCGCACGUAGGCGGACUUUUAAGUCAGGGGUGAAAUCCCAGAGCUCAACUCUGGAACUGCCUUUGAUACUGGAAGUCUUGAGUAUGGUAGAGGUGAGUGGAAUUCCGAGU
rnacentral:rRNA from 1 species